UGCAAACAUGAUUGCACUCACACCAAUGAAUAUGCCAUUUAUUUGCUACUUCGUAUGACCGAAUAGAUGCGUCGUUUGCCAGCGCGUCUCGGGUUCUUGUUCAUUUACGUAUAUAUACGACGCGUAUGAAUUUACCAGGAGUAGAAAUUAUUUCGCUGAUUAUCUAUACACAAGAAAACGAUAUUCAUAUGUUGUUUUUCCAUGGAAUAAUACAAAAUAUUUUUAAUUGCAUUUAUUUCAACAAUUUUUUCCUCUUUUUUUUUUUUUUGAAUUCAUAUACGGGACUCUGAAUAAGAAUUUUCGUUUUCAAAGCAUGAUAAAUGUUAAAAAAACUUAGGAUCGAUCGAGGACACCGAAUGUAGGCAACAUUUUGACAAGAAACGAUGUAAAGUUCCUACUUAAAAUACGAAGGUUCUGCCGAGCACAAAUGGAAUCUGUCCACGCUAUUUCCUCUAUCAUCUCUCCUAUCCGUUUCCCCUUCACCUCCUUUUCUACGUUCUUCUACCUGGUAUAAGUGCUCGUACACCAACGACGCCUGUAUCUAUAUUUGCCGGAUCCCCGUCUAAGGUGUGUGGAUACUAAUACUUUACCGGCUAUUGAUCUACAUAGGCGUCAAUCGUAACAAGCAUCUAUCAACACCAGAAUCAAACGCAAAAGCUUUGCUUAAAAUGGAUAGAGGGAGCUGGCUGCAGUUGUCAACGGCGUACGUGAACAGAAGGCUGGUCGAUAUGGGGAAAAAAGAAUACUGAAAGUGACGAUUACCGAGUAACACAAUAUUCAUGGUACGUACCGGGAAGAACGAUUACUCCUUGUGUUCCUCUUCUUUUCUAUCUUGAACGAAAAAGAAGCACAAUGACAGUUCACUCACGAUAAUGGCAGAUGCGCACGACAGCCUGUCACGUGGUAAAGGGUAAAAAUUACCCGUUUGCACGUGUGCGCCUACUAACGUUUGUAUGCAUGCUUAUACACGUGAAUCGCGCGUGCAAGUGUACAUUCAUAGACGUGUGAAUGUAUCACGUUGUUGAAUAUAUGUAAACGUAUAUGUGUACGUAGAGCGGUAGGUGUGCAAAAACACUGCAACAACACGGCGCGUGGACGGUCGCGUCUGGACUGAUCGUGGGGGUCGAGCCACAGGUGUCAUCAGACGGCGGCUGCUCCACCCCUCUGCCCCCACCCGGCUUCCUCACCCGCCUUCAAUCCCCACUCUCGUCGUUACUUUCACGCACACGUCUACUCGUGCCGGAGGAGACGCGUGCGCACAUCAACCGGCUUCCUCUAUCCUCUAUAAUCAUGCAAUAUCAUUUGCUCUACCCAUGGCGCCUAUGAACUGACCGAACCGCGGCACGUGCUUUGCAUUCUAUCUUACAAAUGAUAUGGACAAGUUUUUCAAAUUGAUCUACAUCGCUAUUAGAAUUAAUAGGAACCAUUAAGAACUUACCGUUAAUUAUUCACCAUGCGUUUAGAAAUCUGUUUAAGCAUCGGUAAUUCGUCAGUAGCUUGAAAUAUUACAUAAGGUGAAAAUCAGCAGAUAACCAAGUUAUUGUGGAUCGAGCAUUACUUAUCGUACACUGUACCGUACACUUCAGAAAAGGUGGAUACUUGAAUUACCUCGAAAAUACACACAAAAUUAUGACAAAAGUAGAUGAAGAAUUUAGACAGGAAAAUGAAGGAUGUUAAGUAUUACUGAAUAUAAAUGUUCGUAAUUCAAAUAGAUAUUUAUUCAAAAACCAGUGUAUUUCGUGGCAAAAUGUAUAACGUCAGUUAUUGACGCAAUGCUCAUGACGUAUUCUCACUCAUCCAGUCGCACUCAUACGAAUUCCUCCCUCUCUGUGAUUUAUACUCUUUACUACUUAUAUGUAUAUAUAUUUUUCUUUAUGUUUGCUUAUAGAAUAUUUAAUAUUUUUCUCUCUAUUUAUUCAUCAUUUCUGUUUCAAUUCGUAUCUGUACGCAUAGUAUCACUGUAUUUAUCCCUAACACAACUUGAAGAACUGUAUUACAUACAUAAACAUAUGCAUGAAAUCAAUUUGAGACUAGUCAUCCGACACCAAGCGAUCUUAGUACCAAAAUAGUAACAUUUAUCUAAUAUCGGUAAUUUACAGUUGACGUAC